GUGCUCCCUUCGGCAGCACAUAUACUGAAAUUGGAACAAUACAAAGAAGAUCAGCAUGGUCCCUGUACAAGGAUGACACACAAAUUCUUGAAGCGUUCCAUAUUUUU